rnacentral:rRNA from 1 species
UGGGGAAUAUUGCACAAUGGGGGAAACCCUGAUGCAGCGACGCCGCGUGAGUGAAGAAGUAUUUCGGUAUGUAAAGCUCUAUCAGCAGGGAAGAUAAUUACGGUCCCUGACUAAGAAGCCCCGGCUAACUACGUCCCAGCAGCCGCGGUAAUACGUAGGGGGCAAGCGUUAUCCGGAUUUACUGGGUGUAAAGGGUGCGUAGGUGGCAAGGCAAGUCAGAUGUGAAAGCCCGGGGCUCAACCCCGGUACUGCAUUUGAAACUGUCUGGCUAGAGUGCAGGAGAGGUAAGCGGAAUUCCUAGUGUAGCGGUGAAAUGCGUAGAUAUUAGGAGGAACACCAGUGGCGAAGGCGGCUUACUGGACUGUAACUGACACUGAGGCACGAAAGCGUGGGGAGCAAACAGG